rnacentral:rRNA from 1 species
UCAAAUUUGAAAUCUGGCACCUUCGGUGUCCGAGUUGUAAUUUGAAGAAGGUAACUUUGGAGUCAGCUCUUGUCUAUGUUCCUUGGAACAGGACGUCACAGAGGGUGAGAAUCCCGUGCGAUGAGAUGUCUGAUUCUAUGUAAAGUGCUUUCGAAGAGUCGAGUUGUUUGGGAAUGCAGCUCUAAGUGGGUGGUAAAUUCCAUCUAAAGCUAAAUAUUGGCGAGAGACCGAUAGCGAACAAGUACAGUGAUGGAAAGAUGAAAAGAACUUUGAAAAGAGAGUGAAAAAGUACGUGAAAUUGUUGAAAGGGAAGGGUUUGAGAUCAGACUUGGUAUUUUGUAUGUCUUGCUUUCGGGUGGGGCCUCUACAGUUUACUGGGCCAGCAUCGGUUUGGACGGUAGGAUAAUGACAUUGGAAUGUGGCACCACUUCGGUGGUGUGUUAUAGACUUUGUUGAUACUGCCUGUCUAGACCGAGGACUGCGUCUUUGACUAGGAUGCUGGCAUAAUGAUCU